ACAGGACCUAUCGAACAGCCCCUGUUCGACAGGAUGCCAGUCGAACUGUGGCCGUUCGACAGGCUAGCCUGUCGAACUGGUGGUGUUCGACAGGCCG
rnacentral:pre_miRNA from 1 species